rnacentral:Y_RNA from 1 species
AGCUGGUCUGAAGCCAUGAGUCACCUUAACUGAUUAUUCAGUCAGUUACAGGCCAAACUUCUUGUUCUACUCUUUCACCUUUUCCCACUCCUUUCACACUACUCCACUCGACUAGUCUUAA